GUGGUACUCCCUCCGUUCGGAAAUACUUGUCAUUGAAAUGGAUGUAUCUAGAUGUAUUUUAGUUCUAGAAUCUAGAUACAUCCAUUUUGAUGACAAGUAAUUCCGAACAGAGGGAGUAUUAC
rnacentral:pre_miRNA from 1 species